CCUGAUGAGAAUGAAAAGUUAUUUCGACAUAUAUGGACAGAAGCCAUGGGGUGGAGGAGAAAGAGAAUAUACUUUAGAAUCAAACGGAUCCACAAGGGAAUGUUCAAAUCCUGGCUCUUUCACCAUGAGCUGUGCAAAUUUGGGAAUCUGGCCAAACUCCAGGGCCGCCUAUCAUGAGCAGCCUUGUUUGCUUACAAUUUGCGGAGUUGCAAAGGGUAAAGGACUGGCUUUGACUAUUCAGUCUUUCAGGAAAACUUGAUCCAGUCGGCUAUAUUCUUGGACUGGCAAAACUGUAAUGUUGAGUGCUUCUGCCAACUGAUAACCUAUGAGAAAUCAAGACAGAGCUGCUCUGGGAUGACUAUGCACAUUGAAGGAGUCGCUGGAAAGGCAGCAGAGAGGGCAUGGAGACAGACACAUCUGGAUGAGAAACUCCAGCUCCGCCCACUUAACAGCUGUGUGAUCUUGGAUGUGCCAGUUACUCUCUUGCCUCAGUUCGUUCAUCUGUGAAAUGGAGCAAACAUCACAUCCCUGGUGGUUGUGAAGAUUAACCAUGAUCAUGUGUAUGUGGCAGGUACUGUACUG